CAGCGAACCAUCCCCAACAAAAAGCCCUGUUCUUUCCAAAAGGCUGAUGGGGUCUCCCCACAGGGUGUUCACACCCCGUCUCCUCGCUCCUGGUAAUUUCCGGAGUUUAAUGAAGUCCUUUGUGGGGGAAGCAAUUGGAUUUCAAUGACCUCCUCCCUGGAGCUCGCCCCAGUGAGCAGGAUCUACCGUCUCCACCUAGUUCUGAUUGACUGGAUGGACUGACAAGGAACCCUGAAGUGGGCAGAUGACAUGUAGCGCAAUGGCCAUCAGACAAGGUGUUCCCUUCUGUCCUGAGGACGUUCCGGCAGGCGCGUGCGAAGGGCAGGGAGAAAUUCCAGGUGACAGGAGUCUCCUGCCCAGCUCAGCUGGUGCCUGGGGUGGAGUCCCAGGGCCAGCUCUGUGACCCUGUUCAAGUCACCUGACGUUGUGGAUUCGUCCCCACGAGAUGCGUGCAGUCUGCAGAGCUGCCGGUGCCCCCAGAACACUCUGUUGUUUCUGGGUGUGUCUGUCUUCCAAGUCUGAAGUCCCUGUUGUUGACAUUUUGAAGCUUGUUACUUUGGGACCCAGAGCUCGCUGGGGCAUACAAGAAACCGCCUCCCGUUUCUGCUUUGGCCUGAAUGACCCGACCGUGAAUCCCUUGUCCCAGCCAAGGCUCACACCCAGCCACUGUGGUCUGAAUGUGGACUGAGUGUCCCCCGGGCCCCCUGUGAGGUACUGAGAGCAAAAGCUUCAUCCAACUGCGGUGUUCGGAGGUAGGGCCUCUGGCAAUGGUUGGGGUUAGAUACGGUCAUUAGGGUGGAGCCACCUGAUGGAAUCCUAGGACUUUAUAAAAAGGAGAGCUGAACAGGGCGUGGUGGCACAGGCCUGCAAUCCCCGGAACUCAGGGAGGCUGAGGCAGGAGGAUUGCAAGUUCAAGACC